ACCUUUCAUGCAUUGCUUUCAUACUCCUGUGAGCGGUUAUGGAAAGCGAUGCAGUAUUAAUAGACAGGAAACACAGUGGAGAGAGGGGAUGAUAUACAGAAAAGGGCCCAAGCUGGAAUGGAACCUUGGAUGCUGCAAUAACAAUAUGUAUAUAUGUUACACCAGGUCUUAUUACGUCUACCAGUGGUUGUACUUGACAUGGAUUUCGUCAGCUUCUUUGCUGUCCUACUAUUCUGCACUUC